rnacentral:misc_RNA from 1 species
GACAGAGGGUGCUAGCGUUGUUCGGAAUGACUGGGCGUAAAGGGUGCGUAGGCGGCUAUAUUAGUCGGGCGUGAAAGCCCCGGGCUUAACCCGGGAACUGCGUUCGAUACUGUAUAGCUUGAGUCCGGGAGAGGAAAGCGGAAUUCCUAGUGUAGAGGUGAAAUUCGUAGAUAUUAGGAGGAACACCAGAGGCGAAGGCGGCUUUCUGGACCGGUACUGACGCUGAGGCACGAAAGCGUGGGGAGCAAACAGG